GUGCCAGCAGCCGCGGUAAGACGUAGGGGGCGAGCGUUGUCCGGAUUCAUUGGGCGUAAAGCGCGCGUAGGCGGCUGCGCAAGUCGGUUGUGAAAUUCCGGGGCUCAACCCCGGAACUGCGUCCGAUACUGCGUGGCUAGAGGUAGGUAGGGGAGAUCGGAAUUCCUGGUGUAGCGGUGAAAUGCGCAGAUAUCAGGAGGAACACCGGUGGCGAAGGCGGAUCUCUGGGCCUUACCUGACGCUCAGGCGCGAAAGCUAGGGGAGCGAACAGGAUUAGAUACCCUAGUAGUCC
rnacentral:rRNA from 1 species